GAUGAACGCUGGCGGCGUGCUUAACACAUGCAAGUCGAACGAAGCACUUUAUUUGAUUUCCUUCGGGACUGAUUAUUUUGUGACUGAGUGGCGGACGGGUGAGUAACUCGUCGGUAACCUGACUUGUACAGGGGGAUAACAGUUGGAAACGGCUGCUAAUACCGCAUAAGCGCACGGCAUCGCAUGCUGCAGUGUGAAAAACUCCGGGGGUAUAAGAUGGACCCGCGUUGGAUUAGCUAGUCGGUGAGGUAACCGCCCACCAAGGCGACGAACCAUAGCCGAGCGGAGAGGGUGACCGGCCACAUUGGGACUGAGACACGGCCCAAACUCGUACGGAGGGCAGGAGUGGGGAAUAUUGCACAAUGGGCGAAAGCCUGAUGCAGCGACGUCGCGGGAGCGAAGAAGUAUUUCGGUAUGUAAAGCUCUAUCAGCAGAGAAGAUAAUGACGGUACCUGACGAAGAAGCACCGGCUAAAUACGUG
rnacentral:rRNA from 1 species